rnacentral:lncRNA from 1 species
AGUUUAAAUAUUACGUAGUUUGUGAAGCCUUUUGCAAUUCUCCCAAUCAGAAUAAACCAGCCUCUAAUCCAUGGACUCAGAAUGAAUGAAUGGUCUACUGCCACCCUUGUCACAGGGGACCAAGCAACCUUGGAGAAUCCACCUGCAACAUUCCUCAGAGAAGCUGCAACAUUACUUUAAAAGAAGUUACAGCAGUGCAUACUAUUGUUGCUUUCCUACAAUGUAGCAAACAGAAACUUUGGUUCCAGAAUGUUCCUGAAUAUAACACAGUAAAAUUUCUUGAUAGGAGUGCUUCACAAAAGAUGUCAUUGAAGAUACCCAGUUUGGAAGUUAAGGCAUUGGCUCUGACAUUACUUUUGCCCCAUCUAAGCUUAGUUUGGUAGAGUCAUAUAUAGGGCAGGAUCUAGCUAAUAAUUGUCCUUAACUCAAAAGCAUAAUCUUAUUUCAGGUAGAAAGCCACACUAACUUAAUUGCCAACCAGAUAAAUGGUGAUCACUUGAAAUCUGUUUUAUACUUAUAAAUAAAUCUUGAAAUAUUAAUUAUCCGUGCUUAAAAGA